rnacentral:lncRNA from 1 species
UACUAGAUACAAAUCAAUCAUGGGUUCAAUUCUAUCAUGUUGUCAGGUUUUAGUUUUGUCAUGCUGUCGGUUUAUUUCAGGAUCAUUUCCAGGUUCUGCUACCUACAAUUAAGGCAUGGGUCAGUCCUAACAUGAUGAGCUUCAUUUUGACUUAGAGUAUUGUGAGGAAAAGAACCUGCAGUAUCAUAUGAAUUAAGAUCAAGUGUUGGAGCAGCAGAUAAAGAGCUCAAGCAUGGUGGAGUGACUGUUGUGGGAUGUAUUCCUGCAAU